GGUGGAGGUCAGAAAAAGCUAAAGAUGGUUAUGUCAGAGAAAGCAUUCAGGAAAAAUUAUUUGUAACUCAAAACUUGGGUAUUUAAAUUUUCACAUGCAAGUCAUUUUAUCACUCUUCUUUGUCUUUCGAAAUAAGUAAACUGCACUUCAGAGCGCUUCACAUCCUAAUAUACGUGUUUGUGUUUUAUUUUAUAAAUUAUUUAUGUUCGUUUGAGUGGAACGAAUAAGAACAUAAAUGUAUUUAUUAAAGGUCCAAAUAACACGUGUUCGUGUUUAUUUACACCUGUAAUCUAUUGGUUAGUUGUUGGUCACCUUGUCAGGUGACAUUUAAAUAUUCAUUGCACGGGUUUUAACUGACCGAUGUUAGCGCGGAAAGUUAUAUAGCCAUUCGAAGGCUCUUUUCAGUGCAGAUAACUUCAUUCCCACCCACCCGCCCUUGCUUUUGAUGUUUAUUGGAAUAUUAUGUUAAAAUAUUGUUCUAUUUUGUAGAAAUGAAGAUAAAGAAGAAAACCAUGUAUUUAGAUUUGUGUAAUAAGUAAACUGCACUUCAGAGCGCUUCACAUCCU
rnacentral:misc_RNA from 1 species